rnacentral:rRNA from 1 species
AUGAACGCUGGCGGCGUGCCUAAUACAUGCAAGUCGAGCGAACGGACGAGAAGCUUGCUUUUCUGAUGUUAGCGGCGGACGGGUGAGUAACACGUGGAUAACCUACCUAUAAGACUGGGAUAACUUCGGGAAACCGGAGCUAAUACCGGAUAAUAUUUUGAACCGCAUGGUUCAAAAGUGAAAGGCGGUCUUGCUGUCACUUAUAGAUGGAUCCGCGCUGCAUUAGCUAGUUGGUAAGGUAACGGCUUACCAAGGCAACGAUGCAUAGCCGACCUGAGAGGGUGAUCGGCCACACUGGAACUGAGACACGGUCCAGACUCCUACGGGAGGCAGCAGUAGGGAAUCUUCCGCAAUGGGCGAAAGCCUGACGGAGCAACGCCGCGUGAGUGAUGAAGGUCUUCGGAUCGUAAAACUCUGUUAUUAGGGAAGAACAUAUGUGUAAGUAACUGUGCACAUCUUGACGGUACCUAAUCAGAAAGCCACGGCUAACUACGUG